rnacentral:rRNA from 1 species
AUUUGAAAUCUGGCGCAAGCCCGAGUUGUAAUUUGUAGAGGAUGCUUCUGGGUAGCGGCCGGUCUAAGUUCCUUGGAACAGGACGUCAUAGAGGGUGAGAAUCCCGUAUGUGACUGGCUUGCACCCUCCACGUAGCUCCUUCGACGAGUCGAGUUGUUUGGUAAUGCAGCUCUAAAUGGGAGGUAAAUUUCUUCUAAAGCUAAAUACCGGCCAGAGACCGCAUAGCGCACAAGUAGAGUGAUCGAAAGAUGAAAAGCACUUUGGAAAGAGAGUUAAAAAGCACGUGAAAUUGUUGAAAGGGAAGCGCCCGCAACCAGACUUUGCGGCAGUGUUCGGCCGGUCUUCUGACCGGUUUACUCGCUGUCGUGAGGACAUCAUCGUCUGGAACCGCUGGAUAAGACCUUAGGAAUGUGGUUCCCCUCGGGGAGCGUUAUAGCCUCUGGAGAUGCAGCGCGCCUCGAUAGAGGUCUGUGAUUCGCCAAGUAUGAUGCCGAACUGCUUGUAGGCUGCCCGUCUUGAAACACUGACUAAGGAGUCUAACAUCUAUGCUAGUGUUCGGGCGUCAAACCCCUACGCUUAUUGAAAGCGAACGGAGCUGAGAACUUUUUUGUGCACCAUCGACCGAUCCUGAUGUCCUCGGAUGGAUUCUGAUUCAGAGCAUAGCUGGUGGGUGCCCCCAAGAACGCUCACCUAUGCCUGAAAAAUCCUUGAAGCCCGGAGGUAAACUCUGGGGGGACGCUCGACCGCUUAUCCUCAUCGUCCAAAGCCGAUCGCUCAAAAUUUGGGUAUGAGAGGCGAAAGCAUUAAUCGGAGCCUUCUUAGUAGUCUGGUUACGUGCCGCAAGUUUUCCCUUCAGGGCUUAGUCCGUAACGGUUUUUCGAGUUUUUAUG